rnacentral:rRNA from 1 species
GAUGAACGCUGGCGGCGUGCCUAACACAUGCAAGUCGAGCGAGAAACUCAUGAUGGACGCUUCGGUUGAAGUCACGAGUGGAAAGCGGCGGACGGGUGAGUAACGCGUAGGCAACCUGCCCUUUGCAGAGGGAUAGCCUCGGGAAACCGGGAUUAAAACCUCAUAAUACCGCAGUGAGACAUCUCACAGCGGUCAAAGAUUUAUCGGCAAAGGAUGGGCCUGCGUUUGAUUAGGUCGUUGGUGGGGUAACGGCCUACCAAGGCGACGAUCAGUAGCCGACCUGAGAGGGUGAUCGGCCACAGUGGAACUGAGACACGGUCCAAACUCCUACGGGAGGCAGCAGUGGGGAAUAUUGCACAAUGGGGGAAACCCUGAUGCAGCAACGCCGCGUGAAGGAUGAAGGCCUUUGGGUCGUAAACUUCUGUUCUAAGGGAAGAUAGUGACGGUACCUUAGGAGCAAGUCCCGGCUAACUACGUGCCAGCCGCCGCCGUAA